rnacentral:lncRNA from 1 species
CAGAAAGAAAGAAAAAAAGCCUGGAAGAGAAGAAAUCUUUGGUGCAGGCCAUGGAGAUGAGAAAUAAGAGGUUGCAAGAAGUAUACAGGAAACAGAAAGAAGCCUUUGGAAAGAAAACAUGUUCUGACCAGACGCACAAGCUCAUCACAGAAACAGCUUCUGCAGAAGAAAGGCCUCAGUACAAACCUGAGCAACAACAGACCAGUGGUGGGACCCUGGAGAGGAGUUUUAUGGCCUGGGUGCAUAAAACAUCCCGCGCUCUACUAAGUGAAGAGCCUGGAAGCAGGGAUCUACUUCUUAAAACGGAUCAAUCACCUAAAAAGAGAGAGGCAUUAGCUUCCCCAGCACCACUGCAAUCUGAAUGCUGGUUUCUCAGUUCUCCGAAAUGUGAGGAUUGGAGGGACUGCUCUCCCCCGGCUCUAUAUACACUUCCACAGAGGUUCUCUUUUCCUUGGCAGGAUGCAAAACCUGACUCCAAGGACUUGCCUUCUGAUCUUUCUCCAUAUAGAAACAAACAGGAUCGAGUGAAAGCCAUACACAGUCUAUCCAAGGAACUUGCAGAAAAGGUUGAGCUGGCAAUGAAGAGACUGAAUGCAACAAGCAGGGUUCAAGACUCUGCUGACAAAAUAUCAACGCAGAUGAGUUUGGACCUUUUCAAAGGCUCUUCUUCUCGCUCAGAGCCUGAGACAUCCAAGGAUGAGCAAGACAGGACAAUGACUAUCCAAAUGCUUCUGGAAGCCCCAAAUCCUGAUGAGUUAUGUGUAUCAUCAGACAGAGAAUUUCAUGGAAUGGACAGGAUUAGCCUUGAGGGUAACACUGAGGGAGCAACAGCCCAGGACAGACAGAAAACAAUACACCCUCCUUCCUCUGGUGGGAGUGCUGUGAGCAAAGAAUUGCCAUGGAUCACCCAUAGUGCAAGACAGAGACGCUUCAGCACUGGGGAAGACCUGAGCAACACACUGGAAGGUUUUCUGGUGAAUAAAGGCUCCGAGGUGGACAUAAGACUACUGCAUGAAAAGCCAAUAACCAGCCCACCCUCUCCAUCUCACAGCUUCCUCGCUAGAAGUCCACAGAGGGAACCCACAGCUCAGAGGAAUCACUACCCACGGGAGGCUGCUCUGAAGGCUCAGAAUCACGAGGAAGUUGCAAACGGGUCUCCUGCAGAGAGCCUGGGGACACCCGACAGCCACAGAUUUGGACCCUCUGCCCCUCUGACCACUGGCGCUGAGAUUCAAGACGACUUUGAGCGGGACUUUGGUGAGGGAGACCUUAGCUGCACAGAACUAGAAGAGAAACACAGGAGCCAUCUGGACAAUUUGAGGCAAACCUCCCUCCAGCUGGCUCACAAACUGAAGGCCCAUCAGCUCCAGCAGAAACAGCAACUGGCAGCGCUGAGUGAGAAAGCAAAGCUAGAGGUUCAAGAAAGCCAGAGGUCUUUGAAUGACCUGCUUCAGCACGAUUUAGAGGAGGGCAGUAGUUCCAAAGCUGAUUAUUCUUCUGUGCCAAGACUCGACCAUGCAAAGCAAAAGCAGGGAGGAUAUCAGUCGGAAGGCGACAACGCAGCUGGCGAGAGUCAUCGGGAGAGGCCGGCGCUGGGACGAUCUGCACCGUCCGUAGGAAGCGACCAGGGUCCGACGGGUCCCAAAACAGCGGGACGCAGCAGGUCUCUGGGAGGAAGAGGUUCGUGUCGCUCAGCGCUUCGAGAAGGGGGCCCCCCGCCGGCAGGACUUGGUGGCGCCGGGCAAACGGCAACGGGCUUUCCGGCACGGCGUGCGCAGCAGUGCCGCGUGCCGGGCCUGGAUCACAGAUUUCAC